rnacentral:rRNA from 1 species
CCUACGGGAGGCAGCAGUGAGGAAUAUUGGUCAAUGGCCGCAGGGCUGAACCAGCCAAGUCGCGUGAGGGAUGACGGUCCUAUGGAUUGUAAACCUCUUUUGUCAGGGAGCAAAGGGCGCCACGUGUGGCGCUUUGCGAGUACCUGAAGAAAAAGCAUCGGCUAACUCAGUGCCAGCAGCCGCGGUAAUACGGUGGAUGCGAGCGUUAUCCGGAUUUAUUGGGUUUAAAGGGUGCGCAGGCGGAAUGUCAAGUCAGCGGUAAAAUUUCGGGGCUCAACCCCGUCGUGCCGUUGAAACUGGCGUUCUUGAGUGAGCGAGAAGUAUGCGGAAUGCGAGGUGUAGCGGUGAAAUGCAUAGAUAUCACGAAGAACUCUGAUUGCGAAGGCAGCAUACCGGCGCUCAACUGACGCUCAUGCACGAAAGCGUGGGUAUCGAACAGGAUUAGAUACCCGUGUAGUC